GGGAGCAAGGUGAACUUUCAGGCUCUGAAGUCAGGUCUAAGUCAAAUCCUGCCCACACAGCCUUCACCAGAUGGCUUUCACCAAUUAACUUCUUUGAGCGUCAGUUUUCUCUUCUGUAAAAGGGGGCUGUUAAGGCUGUAUUCGCUUUCUACUGCUGCAUAACACAUCUGGAGACGGGAACAGCGCCCAUUUAUUAUCUCGUGGAUCUGGAGCUACAAUUUUGUUCAAAGUCCAAUCUUCGUUAAAUAACAUAGACCUCUCCCACUACCCUCCUUUUUUCCAUGAUGAUGACGUCUAACCUAUGAGGACUGAUACCAUGUCACUUGGAUGAAGAAUUGGGUUAAUGCCAACCAUGCUAUGGUGUGUGUGUUUGCUUUUCCCUAAUUUGGAUGCCAAAUAAACAGGAGUGUGCAGACAAAUAUGCCCAGCUUCAACUCCAGUGUCAUGACAAGGGACUGUGCAUGAGACCAAACCCUAUCUCCUGUGGAUGGACUUUAAAGAGCAAAACUGAUUUAUUUUGGCCAGAGUUUGUUUCUGUUAUUUGCAACCAAAAGAGCCUUAAAAAAUACAGAUCUUCAAGUUUUGCAUGAAGAGUGACUACAAUUCACAUAUAGCUAUUACUUUAAAAACUAUCUGUACUAGUAGACAUUAACAAUUUAUGUUAAUUCUCAGUUUUAGUUUGAUAGUAACUUUUUUUGCCCUUAUGUAGUUUUCUCACUCAAUAAAUACUAAAA